rnacentral:lncRNA from 1 species
AGUAGGGCAGGGACGCUGAUGAGUGCCCGUUCUUGCUUCUCAAGCUCUUAAGGCAACAAUUCCAUUACCAUCGCUAGUUCUCGCUCCAGCACAGGGAGGACGGAAUGGCUCUGCCUGUCAUCAGAUGAGGGGAGUCCACUCAGGGCUGUUAGUCCUUUAGCAAAGGCCACAGAUGGGUGAGCAGCAGAAACGACAUGGGAGCUGAGGCCGGGACCCACAGCCAACGUGCUUUUGCUCCAUCAAUUGAGAUGAUCAGUUUUUCUUUUUUAAAAAAAUCUUUUCAGAAGAUGAAUUACAUUCGUUAAUUUUCAAACGUUGAACCAACCUUUCACUUCUGGGCCUCUGGAAUUGAUGAACUUUCUCUGAGCUGUGACCCAGGUGGAUGGAUGUCAGAAAGCAUAUUCCGCUGGAAGGAAGAGCUGAGCAGUAGUGAAGUCAAGGACAUACAGAGCCAGAGUGUGAACAUGAGUCCUGCUACUUACUGCCUUGCAGUCUUACGGAAGUCACCAACCUCUCUCUAAGCCCUGAUUCCUUCCUCUGCUAAAUGGACGUGGCGGUAAGCUAGCCCACAUGUAUCAUAAGGCUGUUGUGAGGAUUCAACGAGGCACUUCAUGGUGUGCCUCGCACAUGGUAAGUCCCCAGCAAACAGAAUUAGCAGGACCUGACAGAUGGUUUCUGACAAUGUGUUUACCAAUACAGGGUUAACCAGAAUGUAAGUAUUUUGGGUGUUAACAGUAGAAAUAUGAAAAUGUUGAAAUAAAGACACUUAGGGAAAAAUGUCAAGUAAAUUACAACUUACAUUAAAG